rnacentral:rRNA from 1 species
AUUGAACGCUGGCGGCAUGCCUUACACAUGCAAGUCGAACGGCAGCACGGGAGCAAUCCUGGUGGCGAGUGGCGAACGGGUGAGUAAUAUAUCGGAACGUGCCCAGUAGUGGGGGAUAGCCCGGCGAAAGCCGGAUUAAUACCGCAUACGACCUACGGGUGAAAGCGGGGGAUCGCAAGACCUCGCGCUAUUGGAGCGGCCGAUAUCAGAUUAGCUUGUUGGUGGGGUAAAAGCCUACCAAGGCGACGAUCUGUAGCUGGUCUGAGAGGACGACCAGCCACACUGGGACUGAGACACGGCCCAGACUCCUACGGGAGGCAGCAGUGGGGAAUUUUGGACAAUGGGCGCAAGCCUGAUCCAGCCAUGCCGCGUGUGGGAAGAAGGCC